AUUGAACGCUGGCGGCAGGCUUAACACAUGCAAGUCGAGCGGAGUGAUGGUGCUUGCACUAUCACUUAGCGGCGGACGGGUGAGUAAUGCUUAGGAAUCUGCCUAUUAGUGGGGGACAACAUCUCGAAAGGGAUGCUAAUACCGCAUACGUCCUACGGGAGAAAGCAGGGGAUCACUUGUGACCUUGCGCUAAUAGAUGAGCCUAAGUCGGAUUAGCUAGUUGGUGGGGUAAAGGCCUACCAAGGCGACGAUCCGUAGCGGGUCUGAGAGGAUGAUCCGCCACACUGGGACUGGGACACGGCCCAGACUCCGACGGGAGGCAGCAGUGGGGAAUAUUGGACAAUGGGGGGAACCCUGAUCCAGCCAUGCCGCGUGUGUGAAGAAGGCCUUAUGGUUGUAAAGCACUUUAAGCGAGGAGGAGGCUCUUUUGGUUAAUACCCAAGAUGAGUGGACGUUACUCGCAGAAUAAGCACCGGCUAACUCUGUGCCAGCCGCCGCCGUAA
rnacentral:rRNA from 1 species